GGAGAGAUGUCCGAGUGGUUUAAGGAGCUGGUCUUGAAAACCAGUGACGCCGAAAGGCGCCGUGGGUUCGAAUCCCACUCUCUCCGCCA
rnacentral:tRNA from 1 species